AACGCACCUUGCGCUCCUUGGUAUUCCGAGGAGCAUGCCUGUUUGAGUGUCAUUAAAUUCUCAACCCCUCCAGUUGUGAUGGGGCUUGGAUAUGGGAGUUUGCGGGUCCUUUAUCAGUAAAGGUCAGCUCUCCUGAAAUACAUUAGCGGAACCGUUUGCAGUCCCGUCACUAGUGUGAUAAUUAUCUACACUGUGAUGAUUGCUCUCUGACUAGUUCAGCUGCUAAUCGUCCGUUACGGACAAUGUUUAAUGAACUUCUUGACCUCAAAUCAGGUAGGACUACCCGCUGAACUUAA
rnacentral:misc_RNA from 1 species